AGAGUUUGAUCCUGGCUCAGGAUGAACGCUGGCGGCGUGCCUAAUACAUGCAAGUCGAGCGAACGGACGAGAAGCUUGCUUCUCUGAUGUUAGCGGCGGACGGGUGAGUAACACGUGGAUAACCUACCUAUAAGACUGGGAUAACUUCGGGAAACCGGAGCUAAUACCGGAUAAUAUUUUGAACCGCAUGGUUCAAAAGUGAAAGACGGUCUUGCUGUCACUUAUAGAUGGAUCCGCGCUGCAUUAGCUAGUUGGUAAGGUAACGGCUUACCAAGGCAACGAUGCAUAGCCGACCUGAGAGGGUGAUCGGCCACACUGGAACUGAGACACGGUCCAGACUCCUACGGGAGGCAGCAGUAGGGAAUCUUCCGCAAUGGGCGAAAGCCUGACGGAGCAACGCCGCGUGAGUGAUGAAGGUCUUCGGAUCGUAAAACUCUGUUAUUAGGGAAGAACAUAUGUGUAAGUAACUGUGCACAUCUUGACGGUACCUAAUCAGAAAGCCACGGCUAACUACGUGCCAGCAGCCGCGGUAAUACGUAGGUGGCAAGCGUUAUCCGGAAUUAUUGGGCGUAAAGCGCGCGUAGGCGGUUUUUUAAGUCUGAUGUGAAAGCCCACGGCUCAACCGUGGAGGGUCAUUGGAAACUGGAAAACUUGAGUGCAGAAGAGGAAAGUGGAAUUCCAUGUGUAGCGGUGAAAUGCGCAGAGAUAUGGAGGAACACCAGUGGCGAAGGCGACUUUCUGGUCUGUAACUGACGCUGAUGUGCGAAAGCGUGGGGAUCAAACAGGAUUAGAUACCCUGGUAGUCCACGCCGUAAACGAUGAGUGCUAAGUGUUAGGGGGUUUCCGCCCCUUAGUGCUGCAGCUAACGCAUUAAGCACUCCGCCUGGGGAGUACGACCGCAAGGUUGAAACUCAAAGGAAUUGACGGGGACCCGCACAAGCGGUGGAGCAUGUGGUUUAAUUCGAAGCAACGCGAAGAACCUUACCAAAUCUUGACAUCCUUUGACAACUCUAGAGAUAGAGCCUUCCCCUUCGGGGGACAAAGUGACAGGUGGUGCAUGGUUGUCGUCAGCUCGUGUCGUGAGAUGUUGGGUUAAGUCCCGCAACGAGCGCAACCCUUAAGCUUAGUUGCCAUCAUUAAGUUGGGCACUCUAAGUUGACUGCCGGUGACAAACCGGAGGAAGGUGGGGAUGACGUCAAAUCAUCAUGCCCCUUAUGAUUUGGGCUACACACGUGCUACAAUGGACAAUACAAAGGGC
rnacentral:rRNA from 1 species